rnacentral:tRNA from 1 species
GGGUCGUUAGCUCAGUUGGCAGAGCGCGUGCUUCGCAAGCACGAGGCCGAGGGUUCGAUUCCCUUGCGAUCCA